rnacentral:rRNA from 1 species
AUUGAACGCUGGCGGCAGGCCUAACACAUGCAAGUCGAGCGGCAGCGGAAAGUAGCUUGCUACUUUGCCGGCGAGCGGCGGACGGGUGAGUAAUGUCUGGGAAACUGCCUGAUGGAGGGGGAUAACUACUGGAAACGGUAGCUAAUACCGCAUAACGUCGCAAGACCAAAGAGGGGGACCUUCGGGCCUCUUGCCAUCAGAUGUGCCCAGAUGGGAUUAGCUAGUAGGUGGGGUAACGGCUCACCUAGGCGACGAUCCCUAGCUGGUCUGUGAGGAUGACCAGCCACCCUGGAACUGAGACACGGUCCAGCCUCCUACGGGCUGCAUCAUUGGGGAAUAUUGCACAAUGGGCGCAAGCCUGAUGCAGCCAUGCAGCGUGUAUGAAGAAGGCCUUCGGGUUGUAAAGUACUUUCAGCGGGGAGGAAGGUGUUGAGGUUAAUAACCUCAGCAAUUGACGUUACCCGCAGAAGAAGCACCGGCUAACUCCGUGCCAGCCGCCGCCGUAAGAC